rnacentral:rRNA from 1 species
CAAGGGGAGGAGCAUGUGAUAUAAUUUGAAGCAACGCGCAGAACCUUACCAACCCUUGACAUCCCCGGACCGGCCUGGAGACAGGUCUUCCACUUCGGUGGCCGGGUGACAGGUGCUGCAUGGCUGUCGUCAGAUCGUGUCGUGAGAUGUUCGGUUAAGUCCGGCAACGAGCGCAACCCACGUCCCCAGUUGCCAGCAUUCAGUUGGGCACUCUGUGGAAACUGCCGGUGAUAAGCCGGAGGAAGGUGUGGAUGACGUCAAGUCCUCAUGGCCCUUACGGGUUGGGCUACACACGUGCUACAAUGGUGGUGACAGUGGGUUAAUCCCCAAAAGCCAUCUCAGUUCGGAUUGUCCUCUGCAACUCGAGGGCAUGAAGUUGGAAUCGCUAGUAAUCGCGGAACAGCACGCCGCGGUGAAUACGUUCCCGGGCCUUGUACACACCGCCCGUCACACCAUGGGAGUUGGGUCUACCCGACGGCCGUGCGCUAACCCUUACGGGAGGCAGCGGA